UCAAGCUAGAAAGAGCGCAAGGGGAAUGCCUUGGCAUCAGGAGCCGAUGAAGGACGCGACAAGCUGCGAUAAGCUUCGGGUAGCUGCAAAUAAGCGAUGAUCCGGAGAUUUCCGAAUGGGGCAACCCGGCACGGCAAUACCGUGUCAGCGUGCACUGAACCAAAUAGGUGCACGUGGGGAACCGCCUGAACUGAAACAUCUAAGUAGGGCGAGGAAAAGACAUCAACCGAGAUUCCGCAAGUAGUGGCGAGCGAACGCGGAGUAGGCCAAACCAGAGGUCAUUGAUCUCUGGGGUAUGGACUUGCAUCACGAUCAGAGGUAUCUAGUCGAAUGGCGUGGGAAAGCCAACCACAGAGGGUGAGAGUCCCGUAGACGAAAGAGAAGACUGACAGCGAGUAUCCAGAGUACCGCCGGACACGUGAAACCCGGUGGGAACAUGGGAGGACCACCUUCCAAGCCUAAAUACUACCUGAUGACCGAUAGAGGAGCAGUACCGUGAGGGAAAGGUGAAAAGAACCCCGGGAGGGGAGUGAAAUAGUACCUGAAACCUUGUGCUUACAAGCAGUCAGAGCACGUUAAAGUGUGAUGGCGUACCUUUUGUAGAAUGGUCCGGCGAGUUAUAGUCACUGGCGAGGUUAAGCAAUUCAGUUGUGGAGCCGAAGGGAAACCGAGUCUUAAUAGGGCGUCGAGUCAGUGGCCAUAGACCUGAAACCGGGUGACCUAUCCAUGAGCAGGUUGAAGUUGGUGUAAAAGCCAAUGGAGGACCGAACCCACGUUCGUUGCAAUGACCGGGGAUGACUUGUGGAUAGCGGAGAAAUUCCAAUCGAACUCGGAGAUAGCUGGUUCUCCCCGAAAUAGCUUUAGGGCUAGCGUUGUGUUAGUUUACCGGAGGUAGAGCACUGAAUUGGCUAAGGGGCGAUGAGCUUACUGAACCUUAUCAAACUUCGAAUGCCGGAUAAAUGGUGCACAGCAGUCAGACAGUGUGAGAUAAGUUUCAUUGUCAAGAGGGAAACAGCCCAGACCCACAGCUAAGGUCCCAAAUGAACGCUAAGUGGAAAACGAUGUGGGGUUGCAGAAACAACCAGGAUGUUGGCUUAGAGGCAGCCACUCAUUAAAAGAGUGCGUAAUAGCUCACUGGUCGAGUGACCCUGCGCGGAAAAUAUAACGGGGCUAAGCGUCCAACCGAAGCUUGGGAUGUCUAAGGACAUGGUAGGGGAGCGUCGUGUAUAGGGAGAAGCAUGAGCGAGAGCACAUGUGGACAGUACACGAGUGAGAAUGCCGGAAUGAGUAGCGAGAAUUAUGUGGGAAUCAUAAUGGCCGAAAAUCUAAGGUUUCUUGGGGAAGGUUCGUCCGCCCAAGGUAAGCCGGGAGCUAAGGCGAGGCCGAAAGGCGUAGUCGAUGCACAUACGGUUGAAAUUCCGUAGCCGCCGAAAUUGUUAAGCACAGGGACACAUAGAGAUAUCCGAACCCGGGCGUUGGUCGACCCGGGCGCAAGGGACCGAACAUCAGUAGGGAAGUCGGAGAUGCUCUGUGGCGAGAAAAGCUGUGUGUAUUGAUUAGGCGCCCGUACCGCAAACCGACACAGGUAGAUGAGGAGAGAAUCCUAAGGCCAACGGGAGAAGGGUUGUUAAGGAACUCGGCAAAUUGACCCCGUAACUUCGGGAUAAGGGGAGCCUCCUACGGGAGGCCGCAGUGAAUAGGCCCAAGCAACUGUUUACCAAAAACACAGGUCUCUGCUAAAUCGAAAGAUGACGUAUAGGGGCUGACGCCUGCCCGGUGCCGGAAGGUUAAGAGGAGAGCUUAGCGCAAGCGAAGGUUUGAAUUGAAGCCCCGGUAAACGGCGGCCGUAACUAUAACGGUCCUAAGGUAGCGAAAUUCCUUGUCAG
rnacentral:rRNA from 1 species